CUGGGAACUUUCACUUUGCUGAAUAGAAUCUGUGUCUGGGUCAGUUUUAACGAGCUCCUUUCUCUGUUUCAAAUAUACAGUGACUUUACCCAGCUGGAGCAAAACCAGGGACGCGGAGAGGGGUCUAUAGGUCCUUCCAGUCUAGAUAAACGUAAUGACUGAGAUCCAUCCACACGGGAAACUGUCUCAGGACCUCUCCAAUAACCCAAUUACUCGUCCUCCAAUCUGUGGCCAACUUCCCCCUUCAGUCACCUCUUGCUAUGAGGAGGUUAAGAGAGACCUAGACUGAGUCUUCACUGCUAGCUUCUAGUUUCAAGUUGAUGACACCACCUGCCUGGAGUUCUCAUUCAGGGCAACUUGCCUGAGCCUCCUUGGCUACCAGGUUCGCACACAGCUCUGGCUGGAUUGGCCUUUCUCCAGGCUGUCCUCUGUGGUCUCCGUCCUCAGCGCAGGAUAGACUGACUGAGAGCUCUGAUCUGGUCCUAAAUUCAGAAUAAUAAACAUAUCAAGACAUAUUUUAUACCAAAAUCAUCUUGGAACUUACCAGACAGCUGCUAGAAUACAUAAAAAAUUUGCUCCCUCUUGGCACAGCACUCGUAAGUAAAGAAGGAGACACGGGAGACAAGGAAGGAUGCUAAAAAUAGGUAUAAUUGGUAUGCUCCAUGUUUCAAAAUCCAGCUUAUCAGUAUUAUGAGAGCUUCUCUGUACAUCGUGUUCACGUUGUGGAGAAAGAUGUUAGAGCAAAGAAAAGAACUCAUCCUUUCUAGAGGAUUUUUAUACAAGGAAUUUUCAUGUACAACUUUCAAAAUGGCCUGUAAAGUCCUCAAGAUUUCUAAAUACAUCCACUGUCCAUCAUUUACAGAGCUGAGGCAAAUAGAGAAGACAAAUGGAAUUAUGAAAAACAGCCAUCAACUGAGACCUCACGGAAUACAGCAGUCAGCAGUAGGUUCAUGCUCUGUUGGUGCAAAAGAAAUUGCAGUUUAAAUCAUUAUGACUGUAGAAUGGUCGAUGUUGAGUUCUUCAGCAACUUCUCAUGUCAUUGUGAGAGGAUCAGAUUUGAUGAUGCUCUCAGUUGGUUGUUGUCAACUUCCGGUGGCCAGCGACUGUACUUAUCUUCAAGGCUCUCAUCCCCUUUGCAAAACUUCUUGAACCACCACUGCACUGUAUGUUCAUUAGCCAU